rnacentral:hammerhead_ribozyme from 1 species
GCACUGCUGAGGAGUUCCAUGAGAGGACGAAACAGCUGUCCAGUGC